rnacentral:misc_RNA from 1 species
AGACAUGGAUAAGAACAAAUCACCGAUUCGUCGUGCAAAACGUCAAUCAAAAGUAGUAGAGGAGAAUUUUUGGGACUGCAGUGUGUGCACCUAUAGAAACACAGCCGAAGCGUUCAAGUGCUUAAUGUGCGACGUACGGAAAGUUUACUCGGUUCCAGGCACAUCAACCCGCAAACCUCGCCUUAACUCGGCGCUGGUAGCACAACAAGCGGCAACACAAGCCUUUCCCGGGGCCUCAGGAACUCCUGCGCAGAACUCCAAGUCACCAGGAAGCAAAACAUCACGGAAUAAAAACAAAAGAU